GGUGGCUCAGUAGUAGAGCACUUGCCUUGCAUGCAUGAAGCCCUGGGUUCGAUUCCCCAGCACCA
rnacentral:tRNA from 1 species